rnacentral:lncRNA from 1 species
GUGUGUGUGUCGGGAUCGAACUAAAGGGGAGAAACAAGGGGAAACCCUUGUUUUCAAAGAACCCAAGAAAUUGAAGGGGAAUCUCAUUGCAAAUCAAGUGCAUGAAGUCAAAUUCUCGAUAAAGGAAGAAAGUUCGAGCCACACGAAGCAAGAAGGAAAUCACGACCGAGGUAAAACUCAAGUUUAGGUGGUUAUGCUUCGCUUGGAUCGAACACACUUUGAACGCCGUUCAUGCGCUUCCGCAAAUUUUGUAUAACAUGUAAAAGGGUCAAAACACUUUUGUUAAAUGGCUUAUGUUUAGCAGUUGAAUCUUAAACUUAAACAUGUUUUGUUAUUUUGUAAAUUCUAUAAUGUAGUAUAACUUUAUUAUAAUUACGGUUAUGUUAUGUUUUAUUCGUGUC